CAUGGGUCCGCCCCUGCCCUUCAGCUUGUAACCGAUUCACCUAAAACAAAAGAAGUUACGAGACAAGUUGACCUUUACGGAAGAUGAAAAACAGAGAGAAAAAACAAGAAAUCAUAUCACUAUGAUGUGGAAACUGCCCAUGUGUUUAUAAACCAUGCAGAAUCCAAUAUCCGCUAAAAUUCUGUGGACAUCAAUUUAUGCCAAUAAUAAGAAAGUCAGACGACACAAUUCAAAUGACAAUCAAACACAAAACAAAUGUGCAUUUCGAGAUGUCAGCAUCAAAAUCAACAAAUCACAAGUGUAAACAAUCCAAUAAUUUAAACCACAAUUUAGUACAGCUUAAGCACAUUUUUCGAGAUCAAUAGAGGGAAAAAGAAAAACACCAAGUGAGGAAGCGAAUCGAAUUGGACCAGAUCAAUAGUAGGACGAGGCAAAAUGUGAAAAUGACCAGAUAUUUCGAAGGCCGCAAACGAACAGAGGCCCAGAAAUUGCCGAGGCUAAAAGCAAUUAUCCGCCCAUAAUACACAUCGCGCAGAUUCCCCAAUAGCCCCACCUAGCAUACACCGUGUUCUCUAUCACCAAUUUCUCCGAUUCAUCACCUGGCAUUUUGAUUUUGCUUCAACUCUUCAAAAUCAACCAGAAUUUCUCUCUUAUUUUAACUAUAAACCAUAAAACAUCAAUUUACUCUACUGAAAUUACGCUCCUGUUAAUAUGGCAAUAAGAUUUCGCUUCAUUAGUUAAAAUAAAUUUUUUUUUUUUGGACAAAAAUUCAAAAAUAUUCCACACUUUUCAUAUCCCUUGUUGGGGAUUCAUUUUUCUCUUUAUUUUAACCACGAGCAUUUUUGGAUAAAAUAAUAUUAUAUAUAAAUUCAAAUUUUUUUCUUUUCUUUGAC
rnacentral:lncRNA from 1 species